UACGUAGGGGCUAGCGUUAUCCGGAAUUAUUGGGCGUAAAGAGCGCGCAGGUGGUUGAUUAAGUCUGAUGUGAAAGCCCACGGCUUAACCGUGGAGGGUCAUUGGAAACUGGUCGACUUGAGUGCAGAAGAGGGAAGUGGAAUUCCAUGUGUAGCGGUGAAAUGCGUAGAGAUAUGGAGGAACACCAGUGGCGAAGGCGGCUUCCUGGUCUGUAACUGACACUGAGGCGCGAAAGCGUGGGGAGCAAACAGGAUUAGAUACCCCU
rnacentral:rRNA from 1 species